CGGGAUGUAGCGCAGUUGGUAGCGUGCAUCGUUCGGGACGAUGAGGUCGCUGGUUCGAGUCCAGUCAUCCCGA
rnacentral:tRNA from 1 species